CUGCAAAGACAACCAUGGUAUAAAUUAUCUGGAUUGAUAGGGAUUGCUACAUGGACCGUAAAUAAGGUGAAGGUAUAAUGCAUAAAGAUUGGGAAACAAACCUCUUGGAUUUGGUUGAGAAAUAUUAUCUAUAAUUUCAAAAGAUGGGAUUGAAAUCUGUAGCUGAGUCAUCAUUUGCUUACUCUUGGAUGCGUUCGCUUCUCAGAUUUCAUGUACAGGUAAAAUUUGGUUUCAGAUAACCAGCUUUCUGUCAUAGACCUCUUCUAGGUGCUGAAGACAUACUAAUAUGUUCUGCACCGAUCAUAGCUGUUAAAGAAUUUGCUUUGCUCUAUAGAAUAAAUUUUCAAGUGAAGAGAUAUCUUGCCUGUAGGUCAACCACCAAAACCAAACUACUAAAUUUGUUUCUGAGAUUUUAUCCUAGAUUAUCAUAUAUCUAUGCCACUAGAACCUCCUUAUUUAAUUUGCAUCUUAGACUUCCAUACCUAAAACAAAAUCAAACGUUUCUCAUAUUUGAGGAUGUCAUAUAGCAUGCUCCGAGGUAUAGUGGUAUGGUUAGUA